rnacentral:tRNA from 1 species
GCGAUGGUGGCGAAAUUGGUAGACGCGCUAGCUUCAGGUGCUAGUGUCUUUACAGACGUGCGGGUUCGAUUCCCUCCCUUCGCACCA